UACGGGGGGGGCGAGCGUUGUUCGGAAUUACUGGGCGUAAAGGGUUUGUAGGUGGUCUGCUAAGUCAGACGUGAAAUCCCUCAGCUUAACUGGGGAACUGCGUCUGAUACUGGCGGACUUGAGGACAGGAGAGGAACGCGGAAUUCCCGGUGUAGUGGUGAAAUGCGUAGAUAUCGGGAGGAACACCAGUGGCGAAGGCGACUUCCUGGCCUGUUCUUGACGCUGAGGCGCGAAAGCUAGGGGAGCAAACGGG
rnacentral:rRNA from 1 species